CCCUUAGACGUUCUGGGCCGCACGCGCGCUACACUGACCAGUGCAACAAGCAUCCGUCCUUGGCCGACAGGCUCGGGCAAUCUUUGAACGCUGGUCGUGAUGGGGAUAGACUUUUGCAAUUUUUGGUCUUCAACGAGGAAUUCCUAGUAAACGUAAGUCAUCAACUUGCAUUGAUUACGUCCCUGCCCUUUGUACACACCGCCCGUCGCACCUACCGAUUGAAUGGUCCGGUGAAGCCUCCGGAUUGGCGCGCACCUCGGUGCCGCCGAGAAGUUGGCUAAACCUUACCAUUUAGAGGAAGGUGAAGUCGUAACA
rnacentral:rRNA from 1 species